GGUGCGACCGGACGAUGGUUCACAACGACCGUGUCUCUUAAACUGGUCGGUGGGACUUUCGUCCGUUUGUAAC
rfam:Drosophila persimilis strain MSH-3 cont1.008687, whole genome shotgun sequence.